UGACGGAAUCAUAAGAAACUAACCAAUCGUAUUUAAUUAUUCUUCUCACAUUCAACUAUGGUUAGUUAAUUUUUUACGACUCAAUGAAAAUAAAAUGAUGGACCAAGGGUUAUGGCCGAAGUAUGAACGAGAACCCUCUAGUUCCGUAAGAAAUAAAUAAAUAAUAAAGAAAUAAAAAAAUAGAAAUAAAAGAAGAAGAAGAGAACUCCGUGCUUUGCAUUUAAGAUUUAUGCAAGAUUUAUCAUUUAAAAAAAUCAAGAAGAACAGGAUUUUGAGUCCGCUCCCUGGCAGUGUGGACUAGCCGGUCCAAAAAAUUAAAGAAGAAGAUUUGUAGGCUUUACUUAACGUGCAUAAUGGGUUGUUUUACGGCAGAAGAAUAUACAGAUAUGAUUAUCUGUUAUGGGAUGGCUGGGGAAAAUGCCGCUGCAGCGAUGCGUUUGUACGCAGAACGAUUUCCCAAUCGUAAGCGGCAUCCGUCAAGCUCUACCAUAUUGCAUUGUAUUCAUCGAGUAAGAGAAACAGGACUUCUCGGAUCGAAACGAUAUUUUGAUACACCGUUCCACCGUGACAAAACUAUCGACAAAAGAGUUCUGCGAGAGCUUGAGAAAAAACCAAGGAAUGUAUGCCGCAUAGCUCGUACACUCGGUAUAACGCGAACCAUGGUAUAUAACAUUUUAAAAGAGAAUGAUUUGCAUUCAGUAACAUCAGAUUCCGACUCCGAGUAGCAUGUAGUUACAUCGAAGAGAAAAACGUAUUAAUUUUUGACUUCUCUCUCGAAUAAUUAUGAGAGUCAAAGUUCCUCAAAGUUUCUGAACUGGCGAGUUGGCGAUCUUUAUUAUCAAUCACCUCUUAUAGACUAU